GCGGGUGUAGCUCAGCUGGCUAGAGCAUUAGCUUCCCAAGCUAAGGGUCGCGGGUUCGAAUCCCGUCACCCGCUC
rnacentral:tRNA from 1 species